AAGUCGUAACAAGGUUACCGUAGAUGAAUCUGCGGUAGGAUCAUUAACAAUACGAUCUCUACUUGUUUGUGCACUGUACCACGCCCGUCUCUGGCUGGUUGUUGUCGGGGUGCGGCUGAGCUCACGCUCUCGCUUCCCAUCCCGCGCCGCCGCCAGAGACGAAUUAAAAAAACGCCUUUAGAAUCUUAAAAAGUAUACAUACAUUCUACUCAUAAUAGAAAACAACUUUUAGCAACGGAUCUCUUGGCUCUC
rnacentral:misc_RNA from 1 species